GGAUGAGAUAAAAAAACUGCAAUAAAGUCAAACGCCAUAAUUUGUACAUUUUUUUUUAAUUUUAUUAAAUAAAUGCAAAAAAAUGUCGAAAAUAGCAUCAAAUUUUAGAAUAAGUUUAGAUUUUUUCGAAUUGGUCACCUUUGGCACGAAUUAUGGCCUUCAAACGGCCAAUGAAACCGUCACCAACUGCCCGAAUGUUUUUUCCUGCCAAAUAUAAAGAAAUCACAAUAUCGCGCUUGAAUUCCAUCACGAAUAA